rnacentral:rRNA from 1 species
AUGGCCGGGCGAAGCCCGUCGCAUGGACGGCGGUGGCGGGCUUCCCCAUCUCGCGUCGGCGCGGGUGGCCCCCUGUGUGGGCGUGGCGGCCAUUCUUGUGACGGCCACGGUGGCUGGUCUUGGCGCGUCGACUGGCGCCGUCCGGCGCGGAUCCGGGGCUUCUCGGCCCGGAUCUGGCGUCUGAUGCGCCUUCGGCCGCGCGGGAGUUGGUGUUGGCAAUGUUGCGCGUGGGUCCGUGUUGCUGCGCACGCGGCGGUCCAGCUCGGCGGGCUUUCAAGCUGCUGCGCGCGAGGGGUUGCCGGUGCUUGUUGCUGUGGGGCGCGGGUGGUGGUGCCGGGCUCGGCCUGGGCAGGGCCUUGCGGCGUGUCUGCGGCGGGCCGGCGGCUGGAGUACCCCGACGACCUCGCCGGCGACCUCCAGCGGGAUGGCGCUCGUGCGGCUGUUUGGCGGGCCGUCCCAUUUGGUCCUGUUGGUGGCUGCAUCGGGCGGAUCUGUAGCUGGAGCUCGUGUGGCAGCUUCGGGUGGAUCUGGUGGUGCCAGCUCGUGGUGGCAUCUUCGUGCGGCUGGAUCCGGAGCUUCGGGGUGGCAGCCCGUGCUCGUUGCCUGGUGAUUCUGGUCUGGUCGUGUGCGUCGCACCGGCUGAGGCUCUUCGUGGGAGGUGCUGCAACUGCAACGUUCGAUCCCCCCGCCUUCAGUCUGCACUACGGGUGCUUCGGAUCUGGCCUCCGGCAGAAGUGCGGUGGUGCGCGUUGGGCGUGUCAGCGUGCCUGCUGUAUGGCUGCAGCCCGGAACCAUGGUGGUUCUUGGCCUCGGGCAGCACCCCUCUGCUCCUUCCGGCAUGGUGCUUGGUGGGGCACGGUGGCUCGCGUUGUGUCCGGUGGCUCUGCGUCCGGCCGGCCAUUGAUGGAUCUGGCGUCUAGUGUUGAUUUUGGCCGUCGGUGGUCUUCGCGAGGUGCGGCUGGCUGA